rnacentral:lncRNA from 1 species
AUAUAUGGUCCACUUUGCGUCAUGUCCCUCCCUCAAAAUCUUGUGUAGUAGUCAUGGUGUGGGACACCUUCAUUGCGUCUCUAAUACUGAUCACCAUCGGAAGCAUAAAAUGGAAGAUCCAAGAUCGACGAUGCUACCGAAACAUGAUAUUUGUUAACAUGGUUUAGCCAUAGCCAUUACAUGUCACUAAUUACGGGUGCUCCUACUCGAUCUACCAUAUUUAGAAUGUAUCAGGGUAUCAACAAACAUCGACAGGCACGGCUGUCAGUCGAUUAUAUCCUCACCUAUGCUAAAGAUGUCUAGUCUAUGUGUGAUUAUAUUAGGGUGCCUCAG